UUUCCGUAGGUGAACCUGCGGAAGGAUCAUUAUUGUAUAACCUAGGUGCAAGGGCUGUCGCCGGCCCGAAAGGUCGUGGACUCCCGAGUUCCCUCACACACAUCCAUCUCCCCCCUAUUUGCACCACCGCGUGGGUCCCCCUUUAGCUUGCUCAGAUGGGGGCUUACGUUUUCACACAAAAUUUGUAUGCAGUGUAGAAUGUAUUUUUUGUUUUUUCGGUCCCGAAAACAAUACAACUUUCAACAACGGAUCUCUUGGCUCUC
rnacentral:misc_RNA from 1 species